rnacentral:miRNA from 1 species
UUUUGCUUAAACAUCACACAGUUUUAAAGCUUAAAACAAAGCUUAUCUCGUUUCAUAUUGCGUGGAACAUGAUUAGACAGCUCUGGGAGAUGCUUUUUAUUGAUAUA